rnacentral:rRNA from 1 species
AGUGAACGCUGGCGGUAGGCCUAACACAUGCAAGUCGAACGGCAGCACAGGAGAGCUUGCUCUCUGGGUGGCGAGUGGCGGACGGGUGAGGAAUACAUCGGAAUCUACCUUUUCGUGGGGGAUAACGUAGGGAAACUUACGCUAAUACCGCAUACGACCUACGGGUGAAAGUGGGGGACCGCAAGGCCUCACGCGAUCAGAUGAGCCGAUGUCCGAUUAGUUAGUUGGCUGGGUAAUGGCACACCAAGGCGACGAUCGGUAGCUGGUCUGAGCUGAGGAUCAGACACACUGGAACGGAGACACGGUCCAGACGCCUACGGGAGGAAGCAGUGGGGAAUAUUGGGCAAUGGGCGCAAGCCUGAUCGAGCCAGAACGCGUGGGUGAAGAAGGCCUUCGGGUUGUAAAGCCCUUUUGUUGGGAAAGAAAUCCUUGCGGUUAAUAACCGGUGGGUAUGACGGUACCCAAAGAAUAAGCACCGGCGAACUUCGUGCCAGCCGCCGCAGUAACAC